rnacentral:misc_RNA from 1 species
UGAUGAUCCCAAGCCUUCUGGCGAUCUCUUAUAAAGAAAGCCCUCCAUAAUAAAUUGAAAAGGGUCCUUUGGGGAAAAGUUUUCCCUUUGAUAAGAUGAAGCCGGGGAAGGUUUUCCGGUUUAUCCCGGAGGGCUUGUAGCUCAGUUGGUUAGAGCGCGCGCUUGAUAAGCGUGAGGUCGGAGGUUCAAGUCCUCCCAGGCCCACCAAUCAUUCUAUCAAUCUAUAAGCGCUUGUGGAAAUUGCUCAUAGAAAACUUUCUUUAUUCAUUUAUGAAAAAUCUCCUUAUAGAGAGAGACGCUUUUCCCUUUUGGUUUGAAAACUCAAAAUUAAAGGUGUUAAAGUUGCUUUAAAGGAAAAGUGACAAAGAAUAAGGAAUAACGAUUUAAGUUAUCCCUUUUUGGUGAUCUUGAUUUGGGUGUUUUGAAUGCGUUAUGUUUUUUAGGGGGGCCGUAGCUCAGCUGGGAGAGCACCUGCUUUGCAAGCAGGGGGU